GCCUUCGCAAUAUAAGAAAGAGGAUGCAGGAUUAAGAACACAGCCCUCCGUAGUGUCUGUCGGUGAGGAGAGGUUGACUUUCAUACCUACAUCAACUUUGUCUCCUGAGAGAGCAAUUCAAUUAAAAGAAUGGCUAAAAAACAAAAUCAGACCACUGGACCAGGUUGAGCAGAAUAUGAAAGCAACUGCUCUUUUUAGGGCUCAUUGGAUUCGCCAGAACAGCUCCAAACCAAUAUCUGAGAUUUUAUCAGAUUUCCCUCGUCUAAUGGAUACCCCAGGCAUGAUAUCUCAAGACUUUAGUGUACUCCACCCUGAUGCUGCUGACAAAUUGUGGUCAUCCUGGUUGCCUGACUUUGCUGACAAGAUCAUGGCCUUUGCUAAAAGAGAUGGACGACAAAUGGAUUUCCUCAAUGU